CCUCGGGGAGGCAGCAGUGGGGAAUAUUGGACAAUGGGCGAAAGCCUGAUCCAGCCAUGCCGCGUGUGUGAAGAAGGCCUUCGGGUUGUAAAGCACUUUCAGUGGGGAAGAAAGCCUUGGGGCUAAUACCCUCGAGGAAGGACAUCACCCACAGAAGAAGCACCGGCUAACUCCGUGCCAGCAGCCGCGGUAAUACGGAGGGUGCGAGCGUUAAUCGGAAUUACUGGGCGUAAAGCGCGCGUAGGCGGUCUGAUAAGCCGGUUGUGAAAGCCCCGGGCUCAACCUGGGAACGGCAUCCGGAACUGUCAGGCUAGAGUGCAGGAGAGGAAGGUAGAAUUCCCGGUGUAGCGGUGAAAUGCGUAGAGAUCGGGAGGAAUACCAGUGGCGAAGGCGGCCUUCUGGACUGACACUGACGCUGAGGUGCGAAAGCGUGGGUAGCAAACAGGAUUAGAUACCCGAGUAGUC
rnacentral:rRNA from 1 species